GAUUGUCCCAGCCGCCGCGGUAAUACGUAGGGGGCGAGCGUUGUCCGAAGUUACUGGGCGUAAAGCGCGCGUAGGCGGUUAUUCAAGUCUGGGGUGAAAGGUUCAGCGCUCAACGUGAACAGUGCCUUGGAUACUGGAUGACUUGAGUCUGGGAGGGGGAAGGGGAAUUCCUGGUGUAGCGGUAAAAUCCGUAGAGAUCAGAAGGAAUACCGAUUGCGAAGGCGAUCUGCUGGAACAUUAUUGACGCUGAGACGCGAAAGCGUGGGGAGCAAACAGGAUUAGAUACCCUGGUAGUCCACGCCCUAAACGAUGUACACUAGUUGUUGUGAGGCUCGACCUUGCAGUAAUGCAGUUAACACAUUAAGUGUACCGCCUGGGGAGUACGGUCGCAAGAUUAAAACUCAAAGGAAUAGACGGGGACCCGCACAAGCGGUGGAGCAUGUGGUUUAAUUCGACGAUACACGAAGAACCUUACCUGGACUUGACAUAGUAAGAACUUUCUAGAGAUAGAUUGGUGUCUGCUUGCAGAAACUUAUAUACAGGUGCUGCACGGCUGUCGUCAGCUCGUGUCGUGAGAUGUUGGGUUAA
rnacentral:rRNA from 1 species